rnacentral:rRNA from 1 species
GUAAAAAGUAGAAUAAUAGAUUUGAAAUAUUUAUUAUAUAGAUUUAAAGAGAUAAUCAUGGAGUAUAAUAAUUAAAUUUAAUAAAUUUAAUAUAACUAUUAAUAGAAUUAGGUUACUAAUAAAUUAAUAACAAUUAAUUUUAAAACCUAAAGGUAAACCUUUAUAUUAAUAAUGUUAUUUUUUAUUAUUUUUAUAAUAAGAAUAAUUAUUAAUAAUAAUAAACUAAGUGAACUGAAACAUCUAAGUAACUUAAGGAUAAUAAAUCAACAGAGAUAUUAUGAGUAUUGGUGAGAGAAAAUAAUAAAGGUCUAAUAAGUAUUAUGUGAAAAAAAUGUAAGAAAAUAGGAUAACAAAUUCUAAGACUAAAUACUAUUAAUAAGUAUAGUAAGUACCGUAAGGGAAAGUAUGAAAAUGAUUAUUUUAUAAGCAAUCAUGAAUAUAUUAUAUUAUAUUAAUGAUGUACCUUUUGUAUAAUGGGUCAGCAAGUAAUUAAUAUUAGUAAAACAAUAAGUUAUAAAUAAAUAGAAUAAUAUAUAUAUAUAAAAAAAUAUAUUAAAAUAUUUAAUUAAUAUUAAUUGACCCGAAAGCAAACGAUCUAACUAUGAUAAGAUGGAUAAACGAUCGAACAGGUUGAUGUUGCAAUAUCAUCUGAUUAAUUGUGGUUAGUAGUGAAAGACAAAUCUGGUUUGCAGAUAGCUGGUUUUCUAUGAAAUAUAUGUAAGUAUAGCCUUUAUAAAUAAUAAUUAUUAUAUAAUAUUAUAUAAAUAUUAUAUAAAGAAUGGUACAGCAAUUAAUAUAUAUUAGGGAACUAUUAAAGUUUUAUUAAUAAUAUUAAAUCUCGAAAUAUUUAAUUAUAUAUAAUAAAGAGUCAGAUUAUGUGCGAUAAGGUAAAUAAUCUAAAGGGAAACAGCCCAGAUUAAGAUAUAAAGUUCCUAAUAAAUAAUAAGUGAAAUAAAUAUUAAAAUAUUAUAAUAUAAUCAGUUAAUGGGUUUGACAAUAACCAUUUUUUAAUGAACAUGUAACAAUGCACUGAUUUAUAAUAAAUAAAAAAAAUAAUAUUUAAAAUCAAAUAUAUAUAUAUUUGUUAAUAGAUAAUAUACGGAUCUUAAUAAUAAGAAUUAUUUAAUUCCUAAUAUGGAAUAUUAUAUUUUUAUAAUAAUAAUAAAAAUAUAAAUACUGAAUAUCUAAAUAUUAUUAUUACUUUUUUUUUUAAUAAUAAUAAUAUGGUAAUAGAACAUUUAAUGAUAAUAUAUAUUAGUUAUUAAUUAAUAUAUGUAUUAAUUAAAUAGAGAAUGCUGACAUGAGUAACGAAAAAAAGGUAUAAACCUUUUCACCUAAAACAUAAGGUUUAACUAUAAAAGUACGGCCCCUAAUUAAAUUAUAUAAGAAUAUAAAUAUAUUUAAGAUGGGAUAAUCUAUAUUAAUAAAAAUUUAUCUUAAAAUAUAUAUAUUAUUAAUAAUUAUAUUAAUUAAUUAAUAAUAUAUAUAAUUAUAUUAUAUAUUAUAUUUUUAUAUAUAAUAUAUAUAAUAUAAACUAAUAAAGAUCAGGAAAUAAUUAAUGUAUACCGUAAUGUAGACCGACUCAGGUAUGUAAGUAGAGAAUAUGAAGGUGAAUUAGAUAAUUAAAGGGAAGGAACUCGGCAAAGAUAGCUCAUAAGUUAGUCAAUAAAGAGUAAUAAGAACAAAGUUGUACAACUGUUUACUAAAAACACCGCACUUUGCAGAAACGAUAAGUUUAAGUAUAAGGUGUGAACUCUGCUCCAUGCUUAAUAUAUAAAUAAAAUUAUUUAACGAUAAUUUUAUUAAAUUUAGGUAAAUAGCAGCCUUAUUAUGAGGGUUAUAAUGUAGCGAAAUUCCUUGGCCUAUAAUUGAGGUCCCGCAUGAAUGACGUAAUGAUACAACAACUGUCUCCCCUUUAAGCUAAGUGAAAUUGAAAUCGUAGUGAAGAUGCUAUGUACCUUCAGCAAGACGGAAAGACCCUAUGCAGCUUUACUGUAAUUAGAUAGAUCGAAUUAUUGUUUAUUAUAUUCAGCAUAUUAAGUAAUCCUAUUAUUAGGUAAUCGUUUAGAUAUUAAUGAGAUACUUAUUAUAAUAUAAUGAUAAUUCUAAUCUUAUAAAUAAUUAUUAUUAUUAUUAUUAAUAAUAAUAAUAUGCUUUCAAGCAUAGUGAUAAAACAUAUUUAUAUGAUAAUCACUUUACUUAAUAGAUAUAAUUCUUAAGUAAUAUAUAAUAUAUAUUAUAUAUAUAUUAUAUAUAAUAUAAGAGACAAUCUCUAAUUGGUAGUUUUGAUGGGGCGUCAUUAUCAGCAAAAGUAUCUGAAUAAGUCCAUAAAUAAAUAUAUAAAAUUAUUGAAUAAAAAAAUAAUAUAUAUUAUAUAUAUUAAUUAUAAAUUGAAAUAUGUUUAUAUAAAUUUAUAUUUAUUGAAUAUAUUUUAGUAAUAGAUAAAAAUAUGUACAGUAAAAUUGUAAGGAAAACAAUAAUAACUUUCUCCUCUCUCGGUGGGGGUUCACACCUAUUUUUAAUAGGUGUGAACCCCUCUUCGGGGUUCCGGUUCCCUUUCGGGUCCCGGAACUUAAAUAAAAAUGGAAAGAAUUAAAUUAAUAUAAUGGUAUAACUGUGCGAUAAUUGUAACACAAACGAGUGAAACAAGUACGUAAGUAUGGCAUAAUGAACAAAUAACACUGAUUGUAAAGGUUAUUGAUAACGAAUAAAAGUUACGCUAGGGAUAACAGGGUAAUAUAACGAAAGAGUAGAUAUUGUAAGUUAUGUUUGCCACCUCGAUGUCGACUCAACAUUUCCUCUUGGUUGUAAAAGCUAAGAAGGGUUUGACUGUUCGUCAAUUAAAAUGUUACGUGAGUUGGGUUAAAUACGAUGUGAAUCAGUAUGGUUCCUAUCUGCUGAAGGAAAUAUUAUCAAAUUAAAUCUCAUUAUUAGUACGCAAGGACCAUAAUGAAUCAACCCAUGGUGUAUCUAUUGAUAAUAAUAUAAUAUAUUUUAUAAAAAUAAUACUUUAUUAAUAUAUUAUCUAUAUUAGUUUAUAUUUUAAUUAUAUAUUAUCAUAGUAGAUAAGCUAAGUUGAUAAUAAAUAAAUAUUGAAUACAUAUUAAAUAUGAAGUUGUUUUAAUAAGAUAAUUAAUCUGAUAAUUUUAUACUAAAAUUAAUAAUUAUAGGUUUUAUAUAUUAUUUAUAAAUAUAAUAUAAUAAUUAUUAUUAUUAAUAAAAAAAAAUAUUAAUUAUAAUAUUAAUAAAAUACUAAUUUAUCAGUUAUCUAUAUAAUAUCUAAUCUAUUAUUCUAUAUACU